rnacentral:rRNA from 1 species
UACAGAGGGUGCGAGCGUUAAUCGGAAUUACUGGGCGUAAAGCGUGCGUAGACGGUCAAGUAAGUCGGGUGUGAAAGCCCCGGGCUCAACCUGGGAAUUGCAUUCGAGACUGCGUGGCUAGGGUGCGGAAGAGGGAAGCGGAAUUUCCGGUGUAGCGGUGAAAUGCGUAGAUAUCGGAAGGAACACCAGUGGCGAAAGCGGCUCACUGGACCACAACUGACGCUGAGGCGCGAAAGCUAGGGGAGCAAACAGG